rnacentral:rRNA from 1 species
CUAGUAACGGCGAGUGAAGCGGCAACAGCUCAAAUUUGAAAUCUGGCCUUCGGGUCCGAAUUGUAAUUUGUAGAGGAUGCUUUUGGUGAGGUACCUUCCGAGUUCCCUGGAACGGGACGCCAUAGAGGGUGAGAGCCCCGUCUGGUCGGAUACCGAUCCUCUGUAAAGCUCCUUCGACGAGUCGAGUAGUUUGGGAAUGCUGCUCUAAAUGGGAGGUAUAUGUCUUCUAAAGCUAAAUAUUGGCCAGAGACCGAUAGCGCACAAGUAGAGUGAUCGAAAGAUGAAAAGCACUUUGAAAAGAGAGUUAAAAAGUACGUGAAAUUGUUGAAAGGGAAGCGCUCAUGACCAGACUUGGGCUUGGUUGAUCAUCCAGGGUUCUCCCUGGUGCACUCUUCCAGCCCAGGCCAGCAUCAGUUCGCUGUGGGGGAUAAAGGCUUUGGGAAUGUGGCUCCUCCGGGAGUGUUAUAGCCCAUUGUGUAAUACCCUGUGGUGGACUGAGGUUCGCGCAUCUGCAAGGAU